UGAUAAAGAACCCGAUGGGGAGGAGGCUGUUUGAGGUGAUGGAGGCGAAGCAGAGCAAUCUCUGCUUGGCAGCGGACGUUGCUACUGCUGAGGAGCUGCUCACUUUAGCAGACAAGGUAGGACCGGAGAUUUGCUUAUUGAAAACACAUGUGGACAUUUUACCUGAUUUUACACCAGACUUUGGUUCAAAGCUCCGUAAGAUUGCAGAAAUGCACAACUUUUUGAUCUUUGAAGACCGUAAGUUUGCCGACAUUGG
rnacentral:misc_RNA from 1 species